rnacentral:rRNA from 1 species
AACGAACGCUGGCGGCGUGUCUUAAGCAUGCAAGUUGAGCGGCAAGGGGUAGCAAUACCCCCUAGAGCGGCGGACUGGUGAGUAACGCAUGGGUGAUCUGCCCUUGGGAUGGGGAUAGCCCUCCGAAAGGGGGAUUAAUACCGGAUGUGGAUACUUUUUCGCUUGUGAGAGUAUCUAAAGCAGUAAUGCGCUUUAGGAUGGGCUUGCGGCCUAUCAGCUAGUGGUGUGGGUAACGGCCUACCAAGGCGACGACGGGUAGCUGGUCUGAGAGGAUGGUCAGCCGGACUGGGACUG